rnacentral:rRNA from 1 species
UACGUAGGGGGCAAGCGUUGUCCGGAUUCAUUGGGCGUGAAGAGCGUGUAGGCGUCCAGGUAGGUCGGUUGUGAAAACUGGAGGCUCAACCUUCAGAGGUCGACCGAAACCAUCUGGCUAGAGUCCGGGAGAGGAGAGUGGAAUUCCUGGUGUAGCGGUGAAAUGCGCAGAUAUCAGGAAGAACACCCGUGGCGAAAGCGGCUCUCUGGAACGGUACUGACGCUGAGACGCGAAAGCGUGGGGAGCGAACAGG